rnacentral:rRNA from 1 species
AGUUCUAAAAAGACUCCCAAAACCAUUGUAGAACGUACCCGUCAGCGUUGCCUCGGCGGGCGGCCCCUCCCUGGGGCCGCUGCCUCCCUCACGGGGGGUGCCCGCCGGCGUACAAAAACUCUUUUGUAUUUUAGUGGCCUCUCUGAGAAAACAAGCAAAUAAGUUAAAACUUUCAACAACGGAUCUCUUGGUUCUGGCAUCGAUGAAGAACGCAGCGAAAUGCGAUAAGUAAUGUGAAUUGCAGAAUUCAGUGAAUCAUCGAAUCUUUGAACGCACAUUGCGCCCGCUAGUACUCUAGCGGGCAUGCCUGUUCGAGCGUCAUUUCAACCCUCAAGCCCUGCUUGGUGUUGGGGUCCUACGGCUGCCGUAGGCCCUGAAAACUAGUGGCGGGCUCGCUAUAACUCCGAGCGUAGUAGUAAAAUAUCUCGCUAGGGAGGUGUCGCGGGUUCCGGCCGUGAAAGCCCCAUCUUUAACACAUGGUUGACCUCGGAUCAGGAAGGACUACCC